AGUGAACGCUGGCGGUAGGCCUAACACAUGCAAGUCGAACGGCAGCACAGUAAGAGCUUGCUCUUACGGGUGGCGAGUGGAGGACGGGUGAGGAAUACAUCGGAAUCUACUUUUUCGUGGGGGAUAACGUAGGGAAACUUACGCUAAUACCGCAUACGACCUACGGGUGAAAGCAGGGGAUCUUCGGACCUUGCGCGAUUGAAUGAGCCGAUGUCGGAUUAGCUAGUUGGCGGGGUAAAGGCCCACCAAGGCGACGAUCCGUAGCUGGUCUGAGAGGAUGAUCAGGCACACUGGAACUGAGACACGGUCCAGACUCCUACGGGAGGCAGCAGUGGGGAAUAUUGGACAAUGGGCGCAAGCCUGAUCCAGCCAUACCGCGUGGGUGAAGAAGGCCUUCGGGUUGUAAAGCCCUUUUGUUGGGAAAGAAAAGCAGCAGGUUAAUACCCCGCUGUUCUGACGGUACCCAAAGAAUAAGCACCGGCUAACUUCGUG
rnacentral:rRNA from 1 species